UCUCCGUUGGUGAACCAGCGGAGGGAUCAUUAUCGAGUUUAUAACUCCCAAACCCUAUGUGAACUUACCACUUGUUGCCUCGGCGCGCGCUUCGGCGCCGCCGAGGACACUUAAACUCUUUGUUUUUAUAAGCAUUUCUGAGUGGCCGAAAGGCAAAAUACAAAUGAAUCAAAACUUUCAACAACGGAUCUCUUGGUUCUG
rnacentral:misc_RNA from 1 species